rnacentral:rRNA from 1 species
CCUACGGGUGGCAGCAGUGGGGAAUAUUGGGCAAUGGGCGCAAGCCUGACCCAGCAACGCCGCGUGAAGGAAGAAGGCCCUCGGAUUGUAAACUUCUUUUAUCAGGGACGAAGGAAGUGACGGUACCUGAGGAAUAAGCCAACGCUAACUACGUGCCAGCAGCCGCGGUAAUACGUAGGUGGCACGCGUUAUCCGGAUUUACUGGGUGUAAAGGGCGAGUAGGCGGGAUUGCAAGUCAGAUGUGAAAUUCCUGGGCUCAACCCGGGAACUGCAUUUGAAACUGGAGUUCUUGAGUGAUGGAGAGGAAGGUGGAAUUCCGGGUGUAGCGGUGAAAUGCGUAGAUAUACGGAGGAACACCAGUGGCGAAGGCGGCUUGCUGGACAUUAACUGACGCUGAGGCGCGAAAGCGUGGGGAGCAAACAGGAUUAGAUACCCUGGUAGUC